GACGUAGGGGGCAAGCGUUGUUCGGAAUUAUUGGGCGUAAAGCGCUCGUAGGCGGGACAGGAAGUUCGUGUUGAAAGACCUCGGCUCAACUGAGGGACCGGCUCGAAUACUCUUGUUCUUGAGGCAAUCAGAGGGUGAUGGAAUUCCCGGUGUAGCGGUGAAAUGCGUAGAUAUCGAGAGGAACACCAGUGGCGAAGGCGAGUCUCUGGACGACACCUGACACUGAGGCACGAAAGCUAGGGGAGCAAACAGG
rnacentral:rRNA from 1 species